UACGGGGGGGGCGAGCGUUGUUCGGAAUCACUGGGCGUAAAGGGCGCGUAGGCGGCCCGCACAAGUCUGCGGUGAAAACCCCCGGCUUAACCGGGGGCCGGCCGUGGAAACUGUCGGGCUGGAGGCUGGGAGAGGGAUGCGGAAUUCCAGGUGUAGCGGUGAAAUGCGUAGAUAUCUGGAGGAACACCGGUGGCGAAGGCGGCAUCCUGGACCAAUAUUGACGCUGAGGAGCGAAAGCUAGGGGAGCAAACGGG
rnacentral:rRNA from 1 species